rnacentral:lncRNA from 1 species
AUGGUCGGGUCCCAGGACAGCACUGGUGGGAGCAGGGACAUGGACAAGGGGAUGUCAUUCCACGUGAGGAGCGAAGAAUUCACGGAAAGAAGGUCCAGCUCUGGACCUGGAGGAAGCAGCACCCCUGCUCCAGAGACCCCACGUGCCGACGAGUCGGAGCCACGCCGGGACAGGGUCACUCCAGCCCACGAGGAUCAAACCAUCCCCACCACAGAUGGUCCCCAGGACUGGAGGCACAGUGAGCCUGGCCCAGGGGCAGCCAGGUCUGACUUCAGCUCCAGAGAGAGUGUUCUCAGUGCCCAUGAGAGCCAGCACCCUGUGCCCCUGUACCAGGACCCCCAGCCCUUCUUUGGGACAGCUCCCAGCCACAGGAUCCCGGCCUACGUGGACAGCCAAGUGUUCAGCACCAGGAGACCCACCCUGGAUCCCGAAGGGAGAGUUUCCGACGGUGCCAGGGGGCACGGGGAGUUCACCCCCCCGGCUGGGCGCCAUGACUCCCUUCCCAGGGAUCCCAGCAUGUCCAUGGCCCAGAGAAGCCACAGGGUGCCGUUCUACAUGGACAGCCUGAACUACAACAGCACCAGGCUCCUCUCCAGUUCCAGUGAGAGGCUCUCCAGCCCCGGGUUCCAUCCUGACUCCAGCACUGCCGGGUAAAGAGCCAAGGGGGCACAGAACCAUCCUGGGAGGGGGGGCAUCCCAGCCUUUGGCACCUGUGGCAGCAGGACCAGGGC